GAUGAACGCUGGCGGCGUGCCUAAUACAUGCAAGUCGAGCGAACGGACGAGAAGCUUGCUUCUCUGAUGUUAGCGGCGGACGGGUGAGUAACACGUGGAUAACCUACCUAUAAGACUGGGAUAACUUCGGGAAACCGGAGCUAAUACCGGAUAAUAUUUUGAACCGCAUGGUUCAAAAGUGAAAGACGGCCUUGCUGUCACUUAUAGAUGGAUCCGCGCAGCAUUAGCUAGUUGGUAAGGUAACGGCUUACCAAGGCAACGAUGCAUAGCCGACCUGAGAGGGUGAUCGGCCACACUGGAACUGAGACACGGUCCAGACUCCUACGGGAGGCAGCAGUAGGGAAUCUUCCGCAAUGGGCGAAAGCCUGACGGAGCAACGCCGCGUGAGUGAUGAAGGUCUUCGGAUCGUAAAACUCUGUUAUUAGGGAAGAACAUAUGUGUAAGUAACUGUGCACAUCUUGACGGUACCUAAUCAGAAAGCCACGGCUAACUACGUG
rnacentral:rRNA from 1 species